UACGUAGGGUGCAAGCGUUGUCCGGAAUUAUUGGGCGUAAAGAGCUUGUAGGCGGUUUGUCGCGUCUGCUGUGAAAUUUCGGGGCUCAACCCCGAACUUGCAGUGGGUACGGGCAGACUAGAGUGUGGUAGGGGAGACUGGAAUUCCUGGUGUAGCGGUGAAAUGCGCAGAUAUCAGGAAGAACACCCGUGGCGAAGGCGGUUCUCUGGGACGGUACUGACGCUGAGACGCGAAAGCGUGGGGAGCGAACAGG
rnacentral:rRNA from 1 species